UAAAAUGCAGCUGUGAAAGACCACACCACGCCACUCCUCUCCUCAAACUCCACCAGUGUUUUUCAGGACACAUUGUGUUUGAGAUGUGAAGACAGAAGGUCAAGUUUAUCUUCUCAAUGUAUCAUAAUGGUCAAAGGUGAAAGGACACAGGAGGUGGAGCCUGAGGUGCAGUUUGCUGAGCUGCCGUUAACACUACUGGCUGCGACCAAGUAAAGCACCGCCCCCUGGCUACUCCCCCAAGAGACUGUUGCUGUGUUAUUGCUACAGCUCACGCUGGCAGACAGAUUUUGUGGUACACAUGGAGCUGAAAAAAAAGUUUUACAUCUGUGUGAAACAGGAUAUUUCAUGAGGAAUAGUGCGGAUGGGAGGUCUAGAUUUGAAAAAGUGGGCUUCCAUUUAAAAAAAAAGCAGCUGUGAAGGACCACGCCACUCCUCUCCUCGAACUCCACCAGUGUUUUUCAGGACGCAUUAUGAUUGAGAUAAGAAGACAGAAGGUCAAGUUUACCUCCUCAACGUAUCCUAAUGUGUGUUGUUAACAGAGCUGGUGCAUUGGCCUUGUGUCGCAUUCACGCUAAAUGUGUAUGUCUGACCGCACUGCAGUCCGGCCACCACACAGGUGCUCCCAUUUGUGGAGCUACAGCCCAGCUGUCCACCCUGAGCGUCCACCGCGCUGACCGAGAACAUAUCUACACUCAUCCCUGAACUGGACCACAUCACCGCAGCAGAACGCGAAGUACAGUUCAGAAUCACAUCGUUCAGAACCGGCGCACACGGUGCUGAGAGGGGUGAGAAGAGACAAGUAUUGUAAGUA